rnacentral:rRNA from 1 species
CCUACGGGAGGCAGCAGUGGGGAAUAUUGGACAAUGGGGGAAACCCUUAUCCAGCGACGCCGCGUGAGGGAAGAAGGUUCUCGGAUCGUAAACCUCUGUCAGCGGGGACGAUAAUGACGGUACCUACGGAGGAAGCCACGGCUAACUACGUGCCAGCAGCCGCGGUAAUACGUAGGUGGCAAGCGUUGUCCGGAUUUACUGGGUGUAAAGGGAGCGUAGGCGGGAUGUCAAGUCAGAAGUGAAAGUUAUGGGCGCAACCCAUAACCUGCUUUUGAAACUGAUAUUCUUGAGUGAAGUAGGGGCAAGCGGAAUUCCUGGUGUAGCGGUGAAAUGCGUAGAUAUUAGGAGGAACACCAGUGGUGAAGGCGGCUUGCUGGACUUUUACUGACGCUGAGGCUCGAAAGCGUGGGGAGCAAACAGGAUUAGAUACCCCAGUAGUC